rnacentral:rRNA from 1 species
AUGACAUGAUGUGUUAUUCUUUACAAUAUGAUUCUCAAAGAUGAGAGAGACAUGAACUUGGAGUUCUUCUACGACAAUGUGGGUAGCCCUGUCAAACCAGCUAGAGACCCUAACCGCAUUAGAGCAUUUCCUCAGACCUACCGGGAGAUAAAAAAUGCAAACACCCACUUUCAGCUUCAGGAGGAUCUCAUUGAGCACCAUUGGCGAAGGGUUGGCCAGUAA